AGCUGAUGCAUCUUUGGUGGCUUCUCCUCCCAGUGCCACCGCAGCAGCUGUUCCCCUCUGGAGGUUUUAAUUACCUUCACAACUACAAGGGCCCAAGUUUUUCUUGUGGCCCUCUUUUUUUGCCUGG
rnacentral:sRNA from 1 species